CGUCUUUCGCUGGAGGAACUGCUCGGUGGUCAGCUCUGCGUGUCCGACUAUUUGGUGGGUUUUCACUGACUCCUUUACAUCAAUGUGGAAAUGUUUCACAUUGUCAUAUUAGCUUCCACAAAUGAAGUGGAAGUUGUUCCAGCAAAUUGGUUUAAAAAAACACCUGUCUGUGGCCACCAUACAAAUGGGAUGAUGUUGUAAAAGCAGUAAGAUCACAGGAACAACCUGGAACACGUUGGAUUCCGUACAAACUACUUAUGAGGAAGCGAGGGUCAAACUGCCAGAGCCUGAAAGAUUCACGGAUUUGACUGAUUCAGAAACCAGCCACAGAGACACAAACGGAGAACAAUGAAGAGGUGUCACAUUCAAGAUGAUGCGGAUAGUGAAGAUGAGACGUCGGGAGCAUCUACUUUACCUAGACCUCCAGAAAUGGCCACUGCAAAGAAGCUGUCACCCUCAAUCCUACAAUGGCGGGCGGAUGGACAGACAAACGGACAAAGAAACCCCAACGAUUACUUUACCUCUGCUGGCGGAG